CGCACGGAUCUCCUCCCCAAGGCUUGGAGGAGUUGAUAUAGCUAUCUCAUACUUUUUUCAAAGAUGAGCCCUUAACCUCCACGGUUCAGAGAGCUAAGUCAUUACCGUAUCAGGAGAGAGAUGUACUAAAGCCUGCUUGGGACAUUUGGAACCAAGCCUGAGCCUUUGUGGCUUCCGUGUGUUUAUGAGCAAGGAAAAAACAUCAGUGAACCUGGUGAUGGUAUCUGAUUGGAAGACAGGUAGAGACAAAAGGAUCGACAUCAAGGCUUCUCUGGGUUACAGGGAUGCUGCAAGAUGUUGGCUGGAGGAGAAGCCACCUGAGAAACCAGCUCUGUGGACCUUGAUCAUGGACUUCUAGCCUCCAACAGCACAACCAAGAUAAUGACUGCCCUCUGCUAUGGAGAACCACAGACAAAGGAGUUGCAGAUGGAAGGCUUAAGAGUUUAUUUGCAAACCAGGACAAUGAUCAAAUUUCUUCCAAAGGAAAUAAGUAAAAAUUAAGUCAUUCACUAAGCAAUGUGCUAUUUUCCCAACUGAAAUAGGAAAUGAACUAUUUGUAAAUAAUAUAGGAGCAAGUCUUGUCCAGCAAUUAGGGUGAACAAUU